rnacentral:rRNA from 1 species
CUCUCGGCAACGGAUAUCUCGGCUCUCGCAUCGAUGAAAAACGUAGCGAAAUGCGAUACUUGGUGUGAAUUGCAAAAUCCCGUGAACCAUCGAGUCUUUGAACGCAAGUUGCGCCCGAGGCCACCCGGCCGAGGGCACGCCUGCCUGGGCGUCACGCCACCCAU